rnacentral:rRNA from 1 species
CCUACGGGUGGCUGCAGUGGGGAAUCUUGCGCAAUGGACGAAAGUCUGACGCAGCAACGCCGCGUGAGUGAAGAAGGCCUUCGGGUUGUAAAGCUCUGUCGAAUGGGACGAAAAUGCUUGGAGUGAAUAGCUUCAGGAACUGACGGUACCAUUAAAGGAAGCACCGGCUAACUCUGUGCCAGCAGCCGCGGUAAUACAGAGGGUGCAAGCGUUGCUCGGAAUCAUUGGGCGUAAAGGGUAGGUAGGUGGUCUCAUUUGUCUGGGGUGAAAUCCUU